GCCCCCGUGGUGUAGCCAGGUCUAGCAUACGGGGUUUUCGUCCCCGUGACCCGGGUUCAAAUCCCGGCGGGGGCA
rnacentral:tRNA from 1 species